GGAAACUGCCGGGUUGUUUUGGUUUUGAUUUCUUUUUCGCAAAGUGAGCUUGUGGAAAAAUUAGUAUUUUCACAGAUUUUACGCAUCUGGAGUGAAUAAAUUUGUGCGGAAAUCAUGAAGAGUGUUUUGAUGGUUGCCGAGAAACCAUCUCUGGCUGCAUCGUUGGCCAAUAUUCUCGCCAAUGGAAAAGUUAAUACGCGAAAAGGACUCAAUAAUGCAUGCUCCAUCCACGAAUGGCGUGGAACAUUUCGCGGGGAGUCCGUGCAGUUCAAGAUGACUUCGGUGUGUGGGCAUGUGAUGUCUCUGGAUUUCAUUGGGAAGUACAAUUCGUGGGACAAAGUGGAUCCCAUUGAGCUCUUUUCGUGCCCAACGGAGAAAAAGGAGGCAACACCGAAGCUAAAGAUGCCCUACUUCUUGUCCCAGGAAGCACGUGGAUGUGACUACUUGGUGCUGUGGCUCGAUUGCGACAAGGAGGGUGAGAAUAUUUGCUUUGAAGUCAUGAAUGCCGUGUCCAAGAACAUCCGGAAUGUCUUCUCAAAGGAUGUCACCUUCCGUGCGAGAUUCUCAGCCAUUACGGAGAAGGACAUUCGCAUGGCGAUGAAUAAUCUGGUGCAUCCCAAUGAGAAUGAGGCAAGGAGUGUUGAUGCGAGGCAGGAACUCGAUCUGAGGAUUGGAUGCGCAUUCACGAGGUACCAAACCAAGUUUUUCCAAGGGAGGUACAGUGAUUUGGAUUCAUCUCUCAUCUCCUACGGGCCCUGUCAGACCCCCACGCUUGGGUUUUGUGUUCAACGUCACGAUGCCAUUCAAACAUUCAAACCGGAAACUUUCUAUUAUUUGCAAGCCACCGUUGGGAAUCCCGAAGUGACACUGGAGUGGUCACGAGUUAGGGUUUUUGAGAAGGAUAUUGCUCAGCUCUUCUACAAUCGGGUCAAAGAUGCGCGUGAAGCCACGGUUGAGAGUGUCAAGACGAAGGAUAGCUUCAAGUCACGCCCUCAAGCACUCAAUACGGUGGAACUCAUGAAGGCAGCUAGUUCAGGGCUUGGUCUAGGGCCCCAUACAGCCAUGCAAAUUGCCGAGAAGCUCUACACGCAGGGCUACAUCAGCUACCCUCGUACUGAAACCACGCAAUACUCCCCCAAUUUCGACCUCCACGGCACUGUGAGACUUUUCCAGAGUUCCACGGAAUUCGGGGAGGAAGCUCGUGGGAUCCUCGGGGAUUUCAAUCAACCACGCAAAGGAGUCGACUGUGGGGAUCAUCCGCCAAUCACGCCAAUGAAAUGCGCCUCUCGCGGGGAUUUUGAUUCAGACACAUGGCGCGUCUAUGACUACAUCUGCAGGCAUUUCCUGGCCACAGUUUCGCGGGAUCUGAAGUACAAGACGACACAUUCAAAUAUCCGAAUUGGGGAGGAAGCCUUCUCAGUCACAACCAAUGUUCUCGUGGAUGCUGGGUACACGAAAGUCAUGACAUGGCAGGCAUUUGGGAAGAAUGAGAAAUCUCCCUUUGUCGAGGGGGAAGUCAUCAAGGUGAAUAGCAUGAGGAUUGCCGAGAGCCAGACAGGACCCCCAGAUUACCUCACGGAAUCCGAAUUGAUCAGCUUAAUGGAACAACAUGGAAUUGGCACUGAUGCCAGUAUUCCAGUUCACAUAAAUAACAUCAGUCAGAGGAACUACGUGACUGUUGGUACAGGACGACGUCUCAUUCCCACAACGCUGGGCAUUGUCCUUGUGCAUGGAUACCAGAAAAUCGACCCGGAGCUCGUUCUGCCCACAAUGCGAUCUGCCGUGGAGAAGAUGCUGAAUUUGAUAGCUCAGGGUUCGGCGAACUUCUCAAUGGUGCUCAAUCAUGCGCUGGAAAUAUUCAAGAUGAAAUUUGUCUUCUUCGUGAAGAACAUCGCCAAUAUGGAUACCCUCUUUGAGGUAUCCUUCUCCUCCCUCGCCGAUUCGGGCAAGUCCUUUUCGCGCUGCGGCAAAUGCCGGCGGUACAUGAAGUACAUUCAGAUGAAACCAGCAAGAUUGCAUUGCUCCAAUUGCGAUGACACCUACGCCCUACCCAAUGGGGGCACUGUGCGCGUGUACAAGGAGCUAAAGUGCCCCCUGGAUGACUUUGAAUUGGUGGCAUUCUCAAGUGGCAUCAAGGGUAGAUCAUACCCACUGUGUCCGUAUUGCUACAACAACUCCCCGUUCCCGGACAUGCCGCGCAAUAGUGGGUGUAAUCAGUGCACCAAUCCCACCUGUCCGCACUCACUGACCUCCCUUGGAGUCUCCAGCUGCAGUGAAUGCAAUCGAGGGGUCCUAGUCCUCGAUUGUACGUCAGCACCCAAGUCUUGGAAGUUGGGCUGCAACAGCUGCGACGUAAUCAUCAAUAUCUUCAAGGAUGCAAGCAAGGUGAGCGUGGAGGAAGACGCCUGUGAGGAUUGUAACGCCCAGCAAGUGAGUGUGGUGUACAAGCAGGAGCGGACAAAGUUCAAGGAUGGAUCUGAAGAGAAAACUGGCUGCAUUUUCUGCACUGAGGACUUUCAGCGUCUUGUGGAGAAGCACAGGGCGGUUCAUGCGAGAGCCCCAAUGGCCAAUCGAAGGGGUCGCGGUGGCAGCAGCGGCGGCGGCGGUGGCAGAGGUGGACGCGGUGGAGGCGGAAAUCGCGGAAAGCCACCCAAGGAUAAAAUGGCUCAACUUGCGGCGUACUUUGUCUAAAUCAACGUAUAUAUUGAUCAUCAAGAGGGAGGAAGGUUUAGUCUCCCAACGUUCAAACAGAUACAGACUGAAAAUCUUAAGAACGGAAAAUUCUACGCAUUUCGCCGCCUUUAAAAUGGGAACGUGGCCCAAUUCCGAUCUCCAAAGGUCUGCGUAGAAUGAGAAUAAAAUGGUAAAGAAUAAAAAACAAUAUUCUUAAAUUUGGUAUCAUUUUACAGCCCAUUUAAUGCUCUAUUUAACUCCCUGACAAGCAGCAAAGAAAAAGAGCAUAGAUUAUGUCUUUGAGAUUUUAAUAGAAGAAAUGGAAAUAUUGAGAGUCAAAGUGUAUUAGUUUGAGAUUAACUUCUUCCACAAAACACAAACUGUGAGUAAAAUACACAUCUAAGAAUGAUGAAGGAGCGAAUCAGGAACCAAUCCAAGGAUAUGGUAUUGCACCCGACAAUUUAGAGCAAGAACAUUAGGAUGUUGCACUCACACGGCCGGUAUCUUCUGGUACGUUGGAUAUGCCAAAUAUAAGGUCUGUAUAAAACAUCCCAGUGAUAUUAUCCUGUCUUUGUAUUACAUGACACAAGUAAUGAGUUAUAUUUGAUAAUUGAUUAGAAUGUUUUUUUUAAUAAGGUUCUUUUAUUAAUUAUUAUUAUUUAUUUCAUCCACUUAGGUACAUGGUUCUUUUAAUAAAAAGCCUGUUAUUUUUUUAGUUUAAAUUUAUCUGCCAAUUGAAGAAGAGAUUGUGUAGGUAGGACAAAGAGGCCAUUUUUAUGUGAAAAAUCGAACGAAAAGCACGUGGGGUAUAAAGUUAAGGAUUAAGAAAGGUAAAAAAAUUAAUAUAGCAGAAAAAAGAAAUAUAUUUUAAUUCAUGAAAUAUUGUUAUAGAGUAGGAGCGAAAAUAGAAGAUUAGCCCCAAAAUUAAAAUUAAGUGAGUAAUUUAAAGAAAUGUAAAGCGCCCCAUAAUGUUAAAAAGCCCCAUAGGAUGUAUCUUUUGUAGGUUUAAACAACCGCCCUCCCAUUGGAAAAUAAAUGUGCAUGAAGCACAAUUCAACAGGAAAUUAACAUAGCCUGUAGUCUCUUAAGUUAAUAAAGGAAGACAAACUCUAUCGGGAUUUUAUCCAAAGAACCCUUUCCUUAUUUUUUUUAAACGUUUUUCUAAUAUUUUUACUAUGACGAUAAAUAUUAGGGGAACGUGGCCCAAUUCGGACCUCUUAAGGUCUUUUUCAAUCCGCUAAUACUAAAAACUGAUAAAAUUUUAAAUGUAGAAAGUUAUGGAAGUUAAAAGAGCAUUAAAUGGGCUUUGAAAUAGUACAAAAUUUAAGAAUAUUGAUUUUUAUUUUAUACAUUUUUUUCUCAUUCUGCGGAAGACCUUUGGAAGUCGGAAUUGGGCCACGUUCCCCUAUUUAAUUUUUCGAAUUCUUCUAACCCACUAUUUUUUGUGGAUUCAAAUUGCAUGUCCCAUAAAAGUAAUAUCAAGCAUUCUUCCAAUCAACCUAUUGAGGAUGAUAAAUAUUUUUAAGAAAUUCCCAUAUCCGUUAUCUUACUGAAGAACGUUCGAAAAUAUCUUUAAAAAUCUCCCUUAGGAGCUUUUUGUUUAAAAAGUAAUUAAAAAAAAAGAACUUUUAUGAGAUUUUACGGAAUUAAAUUUUUCUGUUAAUGCAUUAGAACUA